UGCCCUAACUCUUCCCUCUCAAAUUUUCUCUGCAAACUUUUAUCUCACCAAACCCACACCUACAAAGGAGAAAAACUAUCUCCUUCAACACAAUUUCCCUCAAACACCUACACACCACAUUUCCCUCUCCUGUGCUUUGCCUUGUCCGGCGCCGGAGCUGGAAUUCCGGUCGCACACACACACACACACACACCACGACACCACAAACACCCCUCGUUCCCUCCCUGCAACCCCGACGAGCAAAAACAGCCGGCCCCCACCCUCUGGUGGUGGCACACGGCGCUGAAAGAUGCAGGAAGGAAGUGAAGACAGAGAGAGAAGGGAACGGCGGUUGACCGGCGACGGAGCUGUCACUCCGACGGCGGCGACGGGAGUCGUUUGUUGUCUCUUUCCAUUCAAUCUCAGAUCAGCAGGGUUCUUCUUGUCCAGGUCAGGUCAGACGCACUGCGGCUCGGGUAAUCUCGGGAGAUUCAGGUCAGUGACUCAAGUAUUCAGAUUGUGUCGUUUUUUUUUUCGGGUUCUACUCGGGUCAACCGCAAGUGUGUUCGGGUCAGAUUCAGUCGGAUUUUGAGUUUUGGUUUCGGUUUGUUUCUGUUCGUUUACAUAACAAGUCUAGUCGCUGCGCAUUCGCCGGAAAAAAAAAAUAAAAACUCGAAGAGCCGAACGGAGAUCGAAGGCAUCUUCUCGACUAGUUUCGAUUGUGACAGAUGAAUCCAAUAGGAUUGCCUAGAAACGCAUUUAAACUUUAUUGCUCGUUGUAUUGUAAUUUACCUUUAUUCCUGUUGUAUUCUGUUUCCAAUACUUGUAAUAAUUAAUUAUCAAUGAAAUGAAAUUUAAUUAUUUGAAUA